GUUGCCGAUCAAAGAGAGAUGGUAAGACCCGUUCCCGUUCCGAUCACGGUAGUGAAUCGUCUCGUCGAUUUCGGUUGUACUAUAGAAAAUAUGGGAAGCCGAAGAAGUUGGUAACC
rnacentral:rRNA from 1 species